rnacentral:tRNA from 1 species
CGGGGCGUAGCUUAGCCUGGCAGAGCGUUACGUUAGGGACGUAAAGGUCGCUGGUUCAAAUCCAGUCGCCCCGACCA